CCGGUUUAUUGUCACUGGCAGUCGGAUUAUUCCCUCACAGAAGCAGCUCGCUCCUCUCUCAUCCUCCUCCUCCUCCUUUCUCUCUCUCUCUCUCUCUCUCUCUCCGUCUCUGACAAUGCGGGAAACCAACUAAGGAUUUAUCGUUUCUGCGUUGUUUCUUCCUCCUGCUCUUCUUCUUCUCCUCCUCCUCCCAGGAUUGUUCCAGUGAUGUGGCCACGUCUACGCCUCUGAGCCAUCGGGUCGAGUUGACAGGAACAGGAGCAGAGAUAAAAGCCUCCCCUGACAGCGGCUCCUCGUACUUUCCCACCGUCCGCCCCCACCC